rnacentral:rRNA from 2 species
UACGAAGGGUGCAAGCGUUACUCGGAAUUACUGGGCGUAAAGCGUGCGUAGGUGGUUUGUUAAGUCUGAUGUGAAAGCCCUGGGCUCAACCUGGGAAUUGCAUUGGAUACUGGCAGGCUAGAGUGCGGUAGAGGGUAGUGGAAUUCCCGGUGUAGCAGUGAAAUGCGUAGAGAUCGGGAGGAACACCAGUGGCGAAGGCGACUACCUGGACCAGCACUGACACUGAGGCACGAAAGCGUGGGGAGCAAACAGG